GGUAUUUAAAAGGUAGAUUUUCCCUCUGUGGUUACGUGCUUGAUGGUUAAUCAUAGAGGAAAAUCCACGUUUUCAGUAUC
rnacentral:pre_miRNA from 12 species